CGAACACAAAAAAUGAUACCUACUUGAGUGUCAAGUUUAGUAUUAAUGGCAAAUUUACAGAUGCCCAACAUGAAAUAUAUAAUAAAGGGCUAAAGGCCUUAUUUAAACUUAAAAAAUAUUCUCAGGUCAUAAACCAAAAAUAAAAACUCUACUUCAUGUUUUUGACCAUACAGUUAAAUCAGUCUUAAUGUAUGGUAGUGGAAUAUGGGGUGACAUUAACUUUCACAAAUUAAACACUCAAGGGGAUAAAUAUUUCAAAAAACUAUGUGGAGACCUGGCAGUAGAGAAG
rnacentral:lncRNA from 1 species